UUCAAAGUGUUGAACCCUACAAAUACAUACAACUUAGCUAGCUUAAAUUAUUAUACAUUCUUUAGUAAGAAUAUUAGGAGUUAAUACUGUUGACUAAAACAGAAACACAUAAGGGAGUAUAGAAACUCCCUCAUCAUAAGAACAUAACCGCAAUGCUAUCAAGGUUCCAUAAAUGUCGAACCACAUGUGCAUGACCAAACCACACGUAUGUUAUCAAGGUUCCUUCCCAUAAGUAGUACUUCGUAGUUGAUUUUCAUGUGACAGAAAAGAAAAGGUGAAAUCAAUGGUUUUUUAGGUUUUAAAACCAAAAGCAAUAUUUUUUGUUAUCCCUGGGAAAGAAACAUAAAUUAUUUGUUUGAUGGUCUACUGCAUCCAAAUAUUUAACCUAGAAUAACAGAUAUCAGCUAUAACAGAGAAACAAUAUAUACAAUCCUAUGGAGGCUAAAAACAGAUAAAAGGUGCAACACUUCCACAUUUACCUGCAUAUUUCCAAUUAAAUGGGCAAAAAGAACCAGACCCGAGAUAGCAAUAAGUGUAGCAAAUGCAGUUUCCAAACCCUGGCUGAUGGAACUGAAAAUAUAAAAAGCAAAAAACAUCUGUUAAAAGGUUAUAAUAAACCUUCACACAACACUUUUUACCACUACUCACGCAUUCUACGCGGAUGAAGUAUAUAAGUUUGGAAUAGAGCUAUUUUAUGUUGCAAAAAAAAAAAGUGAUUAUAAAUUUAUGAGUCAUGAAGAUAAUCAUAUGUUUAGUCUUUGCAUGAGUACGGAGGAGGGGGACCAAAAGCUUCAAUUAAUUUCCAAGCAUUGAUUCAAAUAGCAAAUAAAGAUGAUAAAGUUUCAUCUGUCAUCACUUGUAAUGGAAUUUAACUUUUUUGGUACUUUCAUAAAUUUGUACCUCACUUUUUUGGAUCACAGCCAUUAAACACCUGAGUAUUGUUUCCUCAUAGUUUGCUUUCAUCUUUAUUCAAAGUACCACAAUCCAAAUAAGAGAGACUGCACUUUCAUGUCUAUAAGCAUACUUGCAGUACGUCACCUGACGCUCAAUUGACAACAGAUACCACGAGGCUCCUAAGACCUACAAGAUCAGAAGGCUAAUCAUUGCAAGACUGCUAAGAGUAGAAUACUAUUCAGACCCAAUAGCAUUUUUAUACAGAAGUAGACAAAAUAGUAAUGCUAAAUCAUCUAAAAUAGAAGAAUGAUAGCCUGUCAUGCUCCAACUGAAGAAUUAAGAAUACUGGAAAACAGAAUUUAGGGAGAGUCUUGCCCUUAGUAUUUUCACAUAAAGUGGUUGUUGCUCUUAAAACUGUUCCUCUACCCUUGAGCAAGACUUCUACCAUUGCAGCAUGCAAUGGCCCAGCUAUUAACAAAAUAUUAGCAUACAAAAUUUGACUUGAGAUUACAUACAUGAUUAGCCAACAUGUAGAGCAGGAGGUUAUAGGCAGCCCCAGCCUAAGCAGUCUUUGUGACUAUUCCAGUGGCUUUGAUGAUCUCAGAAUCGUGGAAAUUACUGGAGAAGAGCAAUCAGUAGAAGAGCAUUGUUGGUAUGAUCAGAAUAGAGCCUCUAAUUGCCAGAACAAUAAACCAUGUCACAAUCUGCAAAAAAUAUGCUUACGAUUCAAAUUCUGUGAAUUAAAAGAGGCUAAUAAUACACAAGCUCCACAUACGAGGAUCCAAAAUAAAAACCUGUGCACAAGCCUGCAACUAAUUUUUUAAAGAAAGGAACAGUCAUAGUCAAGUUUAUUCAAAUGUACCCAAAUUUGAGAAUUGCAAUCAAGGCCUUGAGAAGCGAAGCACAUAGUGACAAAAGCCACUUAUCACUUCUCCAUAAGCUGGUAGAGACUAAGAAAUGAACAAAAACCAAUGCACAGGGCUCCUCAAUAUCAUAAUGCAAUUAAUUAAAUCACAAAAUUAUAAAACGGAACCAAUUUUUCAAUGAUGGCAGCCAUAUCUCCACAAGCUAGUGGGAUCUCAGAAAAGCCAAUACUCAAAAUUCACUACUACUUAAGAGUAUUAAUUAAAUAAAAGAUUAUGGAUAAUGACAUCCAAAAUAGCUUAUUUUUCAAUCUUUAACCUACAACCUGAUGAGAGAAAGGGACUUCUGGGAAGUAAGGAACCAAAUGAAUUAGAAACCCCAUAACUUCCCUCGAUCAAUCUAAUAUAAUCAUAUUCAAAAUAGAAAACCCAUUAUUCAAAGAAAAAAGAACUCCCUCAUGAUUAGUGCUCUAUGACAACACUAGUUGGAGUUAAUACCUGAAAGAUGUGGUAAGAAGAUCUCAGCCUUCCAUAGUUCCAAAUCAGUCAGGAUUAAAAAAAAAAAAAAGAAUUAUAUUUUAAUGUAAAAUAAUACUUCCUCAAACAUUCAAAGUGUUGAACCCUACAAAUACAUACAACUUAGCUAGCUUAAAUUAUUGUACAUUCUCUAGUAAGAAUAUUAGGAGUUAAUACUGUUGACUAAAACAGAAACACAUAAGGAGGUAUAGAAACUCCCUCAUCAUAAGAACAUAACCGCAAGGCUCCUUUCUCCGGAUUGCUCACUGAGAUUAUUGGAAUGCUAGAAGAACUCUUUUCAAGUCUAGA
rnacentral:lncRNA from 1 species